rnacentral:rRNA from 1 species
UACGUAGGGUGCGAGCGUUGUCCGGAAUUAUUGGGCGUAAAGAGCUUGUAGGCGGUCUGUCGCGUCUGCUGUGAAAAUCCGGGGCUCAACCCCGGACUUGCAGUGGGUACGGGCAGACUAGAGUGUGGUAGGGGAGACUGGAAUUCCUGGUGUAGCGGUGAAAUGCGCAGAUAUCAGGAGGAACACCGGUGGCGAAGGCGCUGCUCUGGGCCGGUACUGACGCUGAGGAGCGAAAGCGUGGGUAGCAAACAGG